ensembl:lncRNA
GUCUCUUAUGAGAGUUUUGACAGAUUAUAUCAUUCAAGGAAUUUGCUCUUUUCAUUUAGGUUAUCAAAUAUCUUUUGGCUGUUAGGAUUUAUAGCUGUGACAUCCAUCAUGAUGAUUCAAAGAGCCUAAUCAUCCAAUAAAACAUGCAGAAAAGUUUACAUGGAUGAUGUUUAUCUGAAUUAUUUGCUCAAGAGACAGAUAACUGUUUGGGACCUUGGAGGUAGAGCAAUGGAGGAAUUCACUUCUCACAGUGGUAUUAACUGUAAUACGGUUGUAUUGACUGCAGAAUGAGCCGAUAGCAAGGAAGCAGCCCAUCAGGUCCAUGGAGACAUUUUUCAUCAUUUCCUGGUUUGGAGAGAGGAUGUUGUUAAUCAACUGCCAUCUCAAUGCUCAGAUUAGUGUCAAGACUAAGAGGGCAUCUGGUUCGCUUCACUGACAAAGCGAUGAAAGGCCUUGCUUGUAAAUAGCUUUGACUGCGUUUGCAAACUCUUACAUUAGUUGUGCUACCCUUACGUUCCCCGAAUACUUCUUCAAAAGUUCUGCUUCUUUCCUAGGCUGUGAGUUGCCCUGAUUACUAAUUUUCAUAAUCAGUUCCUGGAGGUUUCCACU